CAGUCGACGGUAACAUUUCGAGCUUGCUAAUAAGAUGACGAGUGGCGGACGGGUGAGUAAUGCUUGGGAACUUGCCUUUGCGAGGGGGAUAACAGUUGGAAACGACUGCUAAUACCGCAUAAUGUCUUCGGACCAAACGGGGCUUCGGCUCCGGCGCAAAGAGAGGCCCAAGUGAGAUUAGCUAGUUGGUAAGGUAACGGCUUACCAAGGCGACGAUCUCUAGCUGUUCUGAGAGGAAGAUCAGCCACACUGGGACUGAGACACGGCCCAGACUCCUACGGGAGGCAGCAGUGGGGAAUAUUGCACAAUGGGGGAAACCCUGAUGCAGCCAUGCCGCGUGUGUGAAGAAGGCCUUCGGGUUGUAAAGCACUUUCAGUUGUGGGAAAAGUUAGUAGUUAAUACCUGCUAGCCGUGACGUUAACAACAGAAGAAGCACCGGCUAACUCCGUGCCAGCAGCCGCGGUAAUACGGAGGGUGCGAGCGUUAAUCGGAAUUACUGGGCGUAAAGCGCACGCAGGCGGUUUGUUAAGCUAGAUGUGAAAGCCCCGGGCUCAACCUGGGAUGGUCAUUUAGAACUGGCAGACUAGAGUCUUGGAGAGGGGAGUGGAAUUCCAGGUGUAGCGGUGAAAUGCGUAGAUAUCUGGAGGAACAUCAGUGGCGAAGGCGACUCCCUGGCCAAAGACUGACGCUCAUGUGCGAAAGUGUGGGUAGCGAACAGGAUUAGAUACCCUGGUAGUCCACACCGUAAACGCUGUCUACUAGCUGUGUGUGCCUUUAAGGCGUGCGUAGCGAAGCUAACGCGCUAAGUAGACCGCCUGGGGGAGUACGGCCGCAAGGUUAAAACUCAAAUGAAUUUGACGGGGGCCCGCACAAGCGGUG
rnacentral:rRNA from 1 species